AUCGCUUCUCGGCCUUUUGGCUAAGAUCAAGUGUAGGUCUUAGUGCUCUAGCUAAUUUUUCAAAUUUAUAACAAAAUUUUUGUUUAUAAGGCCAUAUCUAUGUAUUAAAUUGUUUGUAAAAGACUCGUGUACCUGUU
rnacentral:snRNA from 1 species